ensembl:snoRNA
AUCACUUUGAUGGCUCUUUCUCACAAUGGUCUGUGGAUGCCACAGUGAGCACUGCAGAGAAUGCCAAAGGCACAGCUGAUGCUAGGGC